rnacentral:lncRNA from 1 species
CUAGUCAUGCCAUACACCAAGUAUGCAUACUAUGUUUGUCUAUGAUCUUUACUUUGUGAACUAGAUCAAUUGAACAUAACUUCAAUGAUUCUCUUUUCACACUCCCAAAUCCUUACUGCAAAUGCAAGAAUUCCAAAUUCAUGCCAUUUACUGAAAUCUGUUAGAUUCUAAACUUAUAUGCAUUGAUCCUCUUGUAAUGAUUAUGCACAAAGUCAGAAAGACUUGACAACAAUCAUUACAGAGUAUUCCAAAGGAGAUCAGCUCCUUGGAAACAUCCUUCUUGCAUUAAGUUUCCUAAUCUUAAACAGAUUGAAAAUUCUAACUUUGAAACAUUUCCAGAUUCCAUUUUGACUAUCACUUCUGAACAAGAGUUGCCUCCUUACAGAUUAUGUCAAUAUGGUCCUUCCAGAAUUAUCACUAUACUUCCAACUGUCCUUGAGCAACCAAUCCUUGGUAAACCUUAGAUUGUCUUUGACAAUUGUUUAAUCCUUUUAGUCAUAUCUAGUUCUAGACCUUUUUCCCUUCUUAAUCCCNCCAUUUUGACUAUCACUUCUGAACAAGAGUUGCCUCCUUACAGAUUAUGUCAAUAUGGUCCUUCCAGAAUUAUCACUAUACUUCCAACUGUCCUUGAGCAACCAAUCUUUGGUAAACCUUAGAUUGUCCUUGACAAUUGUUUAAUCCUUUUAGUCAUAUCCAGUUCUAAACCUUUUCCCUUCUUAAUGCCCCAGGCAUUUGGAAAAUUUUAGAAAGGAUGAAUAUAACACAUGUAAUCGAUCCUAUAUCCGAAGCAUAUGGGACACGAUUCAUGAUGUCUCACAUAAAGACUAAACCAAUCUUUUGCUAUACCAUUUCCAUUUCUAUUUGCCAUGUUCUCAUAAUUCAGAUUAUGAAAAGGGAUGCCGUAAUCAUAAUCGAAUUUUAGAACGCAAAUAAUGGACCAAUAUAUAGAAUUUCCUUAUGUUGAGCCAUUCCAACAUGAAAUUCAUAUAUAUAUCCUUGACUAAAUACG